rnacentral:rRNA from 1 species
UACGUAGGGUGCGAGCGUUGUCCGGAAUUAUUGGGCUUAAAGGGCGCGUAGGCGGUUUGUCGCGUCGGGAGUGAAAACGCCGUGCUUAACACGGCGCUUGCUUUCGAUACGGGCAGACUAGAGGUAUGCAGGGGAGAACGGAAUUCCUGGUGUAGCGGUGAAAUGCGCAGAUAUCAGGAGGAACACCGGUGGCGAAGGCGGUUCUCUGGGCAUUACCUGACGCUGAGGAGCGAAAGUGUGGGGAGCGAACAGG